AACGAACGCUGGCGGCAUGCCUAACACAUGCAAGUCGAACGAGACCUUCGGGUCUAGUGGCGCACGGGUGCGUAACGCGUGGGAAUCUGCCCUUUGCUUCGGAAUAACAGUUAGAAAUGACUGCUAAUACCGGAUGAUGUCUUCGGACCAAAGAUUUAUCGGCAAAGGAUGAGCCCGCGUAGGAUUAGGUAGUUGGUGGGGUAAAGGCCUACCAAGCCGACGAUCCGUAACUGGUCUGAGAGGAUGAUCAGCCACACUGGGACUGAGACGCGGCCCAGACUCCUACGGGAGGCAGCAGUGGGGGAUAUUGGACAAUGGGCGAAAGCCUGAUCCAGCAAUGCCGCGUGAGUGAUGAAGGCC
rnacentral:rRNA from 1 species